UACGUAGGGUGCAAGCGUUGUCCGGAAUUAUUGGGCGUAAAGAGCUCGUAGGCGGUUUGUCGCGUCUGCUGUGAAAACUCGGGGCUUAACUCCGGGCCUGCAGUGGGUACGGGCAGACUAGAGUGCGGUAGGGGAGAUUGGAAUUCCUGGUGUAGCGGUGGAAUGCGCAGAUAUCAGGAGGAACACCAAUGGCGAAGGCAGAUCUCUGGGCCGUAACUGACGCUGAGGAGCGAAAGCGUGGGGAGCAAACAGG
rnacentral:rRNA from 1 species